rfam:Salmo salar isolate Sally breed double haploid chromosome ssa14, whole genome shotgun sequence.
UGGCUCAGUUGGUAGAGCAUGGUGUGUGCAACACCAGCGUUGUGGGUUCAAGUCCCAC